AGGAAGCUGUGUGUAUCACUGCUCACUGCAGGCAGAAACUCUGCAAAGGCCUUCCUAUGACUGAUAAAUGGUGUUUGGUUUGGAUCGGGAGGAAAAAUAAGGUGCUCGGGAUAACAGGGAGCCGGUGGGAAAACAUUCGGAACUCCAGAAUGAGAGCAAAAGAAGAGACCGCUUUGAAGGUUCCAUGAGGUGGUUAACUAACAAGGAACAAUGAGGGCAGCCCAGGCAGGGGCUUCCUUCCACCCAGCUGCAGUCAAAGCCACCGGUGGCCAGGGAGCUGGCAGGAACCCUGUUAUGGCUGGGGAGAACAAACAGGCUUGGUCAAGGAAGCCAAGCCCCCUUCAAAGAACUAAGCUCCAACCCCAACCCCCACGGCUUCAGGAGUGUUUGCUGUCAAGGUCUAGGCUCACAGAAGACAAUGAGGCUGGAUUUUCUGUGACGAGCAGAGACAAAAUCUGAACAGUUUGGGGGCUUCCAGAACAGACUUUUAUUACCAUGCCUCACUUGCAGCAAUGGACUACACUUCUGGAACUCUGAGCUACCUUGUCAGAUAUUUUGUGACAGCAACAAGGAAGAUGACAAGUCUAAGGGUCCCAGGGAUGGUUCACCUGCAGGGUGAAAGGGAGCAAGAACAUGUGAGGCUUUCCCUGUGCCACACAGACAGUGGAGAGCUUCUUAGAAGUGCACCAGCAAGAACGGACUUUGUGGAAUUUAUCAAUGACAAUUUCCCAAUAGUGAUUGAUCAUUAGUCACUUGGAGCCUAAGGAAAGUGAAAAUUUAAAUGUGGGGAUUGUUUUUGCAUACAUUGAGCCCUGGAGACUUAAUGCAACAUACAGCUGAGCUGCUGUAAAUUAAGUAGCUGGUGUAGGCAGUUGUCUUCUGUGUGGUAAUCCAAGUACCAGGCUGCUUUGAUCUUACAGCUAGGCCUUCUAGAACACAGGACUUCCAAAAUCAGUACGGAACAGGAUAGCGUGUGGAUCUGUUCAUGACAUAGCAGUCAUUAACACCAUGUGGAUAAAUUUAAAUAUAUUUAAGUUAAGUAAAAGGAAAGGCUUGGAUCCUCCCGAGAGGCUUGUGACUUUCAUCCUGGGCUGUGCAAAUCAAGGGCAUUUUCAGCCUUCCAGAAAGUUCUAGUGGCCAGAGCUGUUCUAGAGCCCAGUUUCUUAUUGUCUAGAUUGUGAUUCCAGAUGGAGUCAUGGAGUGGAGUGUGGGUGUCUCAGAAAAUUGGCCAUCACCAGCAGGUUUCUGAAUGCCAGUGAGCCAAUAGGAAUUCAGAAUCAAAUGCGUAACACAUCCAAGCUGCUUCUGGUACUGCUCACCCGUGAUAGUGGUACACUGUACAACUUCACUACCGCCUUAGUUUAUGAUGCCUUAUCUUUCCCGGGAAGACACGAACAAAUGCCUCCAGAUAGGGCACCAACCACAGACCAAGGAAUCAAGUCUAUGCAGCACGGUGAGCCAAAGAGUUUAACUGGGGUUACUGACAGCAGCGUAGCGGAGGGAUUACUUAAAGGAGCAUGGGCAAAUCACAAGCUGCUAAAUAACCGAAGAAGUCUUCCCCACCAGCAACCGUUAACCUUUUGUUUGCCCUUGGAGUGGAGUGGGGCCUUGUACAGUGAGUGCGUAAUUUGUGUGCCAACUUUGCACUACCUUGGAGCCUUGUGAACCCCUUGUGUGCUGCCUUGUGUGCCCUACUGCCUCAUGAGCCCCCCUUAACCUUUAUGAAGGGAUACUAAUGGGCUCAAUUUUGUGUGUGUGGGGGGGGUCUCAUGGAGAGAAAUCACACGUGUUUAGCCAUGUGAUGCUUAUGAGACAGAAUCCCACAGCAGGACGAAGUUCACAGCAUGCUUGCUUUGGACCAUGCAAUGUCACCAUGCUACAGAACCCUGCCUGAGAGACCUCAGCUCAGAUGCAAGACUAUAUGGUACUGUAUGAAUAGCAAUGUUUUCAUUGUAUAUGAGCUAUUCCCAGCUCUUUUGUAUACAUGGCGAUUUAAUUACAGAAAACAAAGACUUUUAAUAUUUCCCUACUAUCAUUCUUUAGCAUGAUAGCAUUUUAGAUGGAAUCAUGUUAGAGUGUUUGUUUUUUUUUUUUUUUUUAAAGAAAUGUUACUUGAGUUUCAUUAAAAAAAAAUCAUUAAAUGA
ensembl:lincRNA